AGAAAAGUUCUUCGGAGCUUUUCUAGCGGCGGACGGGUGAGUAACACGUGGGCAACCUGCCUCAUAGAGGGGAAUAGCCUUCCGAAAGGAAGAUUAAUACCGCAUAAUAUUGUUGAAAGGCAUCUUUUAACAAUCAAAGGAGCAAUCCGCUAUGAGAUGGGCCCGCGGCGCAUUAGCUAGUUGGUGAGGUAACGGCUCACCAAGGCGACGAUGCGUAGCCGACCUGAGAGGGUGAUCGGCCACAUUGGAACUGAGACACGGUCCAGACUCC
rnacentral:rRNA from 1 species